CAGCUCAGUGGAGAAAAAACAAAGGCUCAACGUCUAGGAAAGGACCCAUUUUUCUAACAAGCUAAAUAUUAUCAAGAAGGAAUGUCAUCUAGCUAUUAAAGCAAAGGGGAUCAGGAGUCUAGGGCUCUGUUUCCAGCACUGCGGGUUUCUCUUCACUUUACCGUUAACUCCGGCUCUGAUGUGGGUGUUGCCACUAACUACUGCUCUUGCCAAUACGUGCAAUUCUCUUAGCUGAGGUUAGUGGUGCUUCUAUUCUGGGCUAGGUGGCUUGUCUGGGAUGGCUGCUAAAAUCUGAGUGAAGGACCAACGAGUUUUCCCACAAUUCACUGGGAAAGAAUCAGAACAGCUCAGCUUAGUGCAGAGCAAAGACCCAUGGGAUGUGCGCCUAUAAAUCCUAGUGACUCACAUUGGUGGGUGCAGCAGCAAUAAGGAUCCAGUAACCCAUCCAGGGUGGGGCUUUGAGGUGUGGAGGAUUAGACCCAAACUAGGCUAACUUUGGUGCUGAUCACCCGAGUUAACCCUGCAGCGAAGACCUUCUCUGUCUGACCUUGGCCAUGUGUUAUUGCAGUCAUUUACCACUGCCCCCUUCUGGAUGAUUCCUAAUCCAUUAUGAGCCAGGGAUGUGACCUGCAGUGUUCCAGCUACUGCUGUUUCUAAUGCAGUAUCUUUCAGCUAGAACACCUGGAGACCAAACAUCUCAUUUCUGUCUUUGAAGAAAGCAGAUUCAAGUGCUAUUAUUCCAGACAAUAUAAAAACAAAAGUUUUUCAGCCUCAAAUUCUCACAGGUCUUAUCUCUGCCUGGCUUUCUGAUGGGGUAGAAGUGAUGUCCUCUGAAAUUUUCUGACAAGUGAAUGAGGCUGUUGUCUGUAGGACCGCAGAAGUUGCAAAGCUGGAAGGCAUAUGGUGACAGAGGCUUGGCAUUACAGGAAAGGAAGAGAUGAUCUCAUGGUUAAGCCAGUUGAAUAUGACCCUGGAGAAUUGGAUUUUAUCCCUGCUUCUGCCACAGAAUUCCAGUGUGAUGUUGGGCAAGUCACAAAUUAAAAUUUUCAUAAGUUUGUCACUUUGUACUUCUCAUUUUCUGGGUACUCAACUUGAGACACCCAGUGUCUGAUUUGCAGAAGUGCUAAGCACUCAUAACUGUAACUGGGAGCUCUGUUGUAAAUAUAUAAAGUGCUAAAAAAUGCAAAUUACUCUGAAAAAUUCCAUCCUAGGUGUCUCAGGUUGGGCACUUAAAAUUAGUGGAUACUUCAGAUAAUUUUGGCUUUAAUCUCUGUGCCUCAGUUUCCAUGUGUAAAAUGGGGACAAUAAUGACAGUUGGCCUGGAAAAAUCUAGAACAUGAUUUUCCAACAGAAAAUACAGUUUCUGCCAAAUUGAAUUUUUCUGCGGGAAAAUCUCGAUUUUGCCAAAACAUUUCAAAAAUUGAACUGAA